UACGAAGGGUGCAAGCGUUAAUCGGAAUUACUGGGCGUAAAGCGCGCGUAGGUGGUUCAGUCAGUCAGAUGUGAAAGCCCCGGGCUCAACCUGGGAAUUGCACCUGAUACUGCUGAGCUAGAGUACGGUAGAGGGUAGUGGAAUUUCCGGUGUAGCGGUGAAAUGCGUAGAGAUCGGAAGGAACACCAGUGGCGAAGGCGACUACCUGGACCGAUACUGACACUGAGGUGCGAAAGCGUGGGUAGCAAACAGG
rnacentral:rRNA from 1 species